rnacentral:rRNA from 1 species
UACAGAGGUGCCGAGCGUUAGGCGGAAUCACUGGGCUUAAAGCGUGUGUAGGCGGGCGAUCAAGUACCUUGUGAAAUCCCACGGCUCAACCGUGGAACCGCUGGGUAUACUGGUUGUCUUGAGCCGGCUAGGGGCGAGCGGAACAGACGGUGGAGCGGUGAAAUGCGUAGAUAUCGUCUGGAACGCCGAAGGUGAAAACAGCUCGCUGGGGCCGCGCUGACGCUGAGACACGAAAGCCAGGGGAGCGAACGGG